AGGGUGGCCCCUGGCCUCUCUUGAAAAAGUAAAAAAUCUAGCAACUCUGGACCCACACGUCCGCAUGACAACGGUUGGGGGAGCGGAGCGAGGGCUGCUUCUUUUAGAAGGUCUCUCACACCAGUGCGUUUCCAACAGCAAUGCACGGAGGAAACCUGGGAAUUCUGUUAAAAAGUAGAUGCUAAUAUCCAGAAGGGGCAAAUCCAUAGAGGCAGAAAAUAUAGUAGUGGAUGCCCAUGGCUGGAGGGAGGAGGGAAUGGGGGCUGAGAUUGCUAAUGGGUCUGAGGUUUCUUUUUCGGGGUUAUGAAAAUGGAACCAGGUAGGGGUGAUGGUUGCACGAAAUUGUGAAUAUACUAAAAACCACUGAACUGUACACUUUAAAAGGGUGAAUUUUAUGGUAUGUGAAUUAUAUCAAUAAAGUCGUUACUAUAACAAGGCAGACGCCGAUUUGGUAGGGCUGAGGUGGGGCUGAGGAUUCCGCCUUUCUGACGAGCUCCCCGGUGCGCUAAUCCCCAGGCCAGCUCUACGUAGCUCUUUCAUCGCUAGUUUUCAGCCUCUGCUGCUCACUGGAACCACCUGGGGAGUGUAAAAAGCUACUACUCACGCCCCGGCCCCACCCCCAGAGAUUCUGAUGACACUGGUGUGGGGUGACGCCCGGCCAUCAGGAUUUUUAAAGCUCCCCAGGUGAUUUUACUUUGCAGCCAAAUUUUGGAACCACUGUCUUACACCCUGGCCACUUUCCCCUUUCCCGUUGCCUCCCUUGGCGCGCCCUGAGCCAUUUGACUCCUGCUCUUCUCCAGAUCCCAAAGUUUGGCUUCCCAGGCUGUGCCAGGCCGGCUUGGCCCUGCCCACUGCCUUAAUCCCACCCUAGUUCUGGGAUUGUGAAGCCAAACAUUUCCUCCUUCACUCCUCCCCAAGUCCCUUCUUAGUGUAGGUGGUUUUACUUUUUGGGGGCGUUUCGGGUGAGGACCUUUGUCCGAGACUUUUGAAAAAACGAAAGAACUCCGAUCCUCCUCUGCCUAUAGAUGUGAUGGAUUACAUUAAUUGAUGUUUGGAUGUUGAACCGCCUUUGUGUACCUGGGAUGAAUUCUACUUGGUCAAGUUCUGUCAGUUUUUGUCUCACACAUUUUGCUGCUAUGCUGUUGGGUACGUGUGAAUUAAGGUCUGAGUUUCUGCCCUGCAUCAUUUUCUUUGUCACAGAGGAACAUCUUUUAACAUUCUCGCAAGGAGAACACAGACCGUGCUCCAACAAGUGUCUGACAACAAUUUGAAGCUUGAUGUUGAGCCCUUCAAAACCACACAGUCUUAGGUAAUGUGACCCAGUUCCUUGGUUUUGCAAAGAAGGGACUGUGCAACUGGGAGAAGAGAAUGCAGUUAUUUACCAGUUUCUUCCUAAGGGCAAAAAACAGAAUGUUCAGCAUUCAUGGGAGGGGCAGGAGUUGUGUUCUGCCUGAGGAAUUCUUGCUCACUGGAUGGUCUGGGUCAGGUGACAAACUUCCAUAGCUUGGCCUGGCACCAGAAUGGGCCCUGCCUAGAGGCAGGAAAAAUGUUUUCUUUAAGUCCUACUUUCCCCAGCAGUUUGCAACAAUGCCCUGGUGUCCCAUUUCCACAGACUUGAUGGGGGCUGGGGGGUGGAGACUACAGGUAAUUAAGCUGUAGGACCUUCAAAGGAAACUCUUGUAGAAGAAUUCAGUUGGGACGCUGGCCCCCAGGACCAAGGUUCUAAAGAGCCCCUUGCCUUUUGCUAAAGGCAGAACAAACCCAUUCCUUGACCCUCUCCAAGGUAGAAGCUGCUGAGAUGAUAUGGAUGCUUCUGGAGUGAGAAGGAGAAGGGACUUACAGGGAGCAAUCUGUCCUUUGGUGGCACUUAAUUAUCUGUAUCAUUCUUCAUAGGUUAGCAACUGCUCUUCAGCAAGUAGGAAGACUGUUGAAACAGAUUCUGUAUUUCUAGGUUUGGGGAACUGGGUGUCAUCGGGCAAUUUUUACCCCCAAAAAUCUUUUAGCUGUGCAAAAAUCUACAUUAACCACAGAAAUUGAUCCCCUCAAAUUAACAUCUUCUCUACGCAGCCCGUCUGUCCCAAGUGUGAGGUUGGAGGGUGGAAGACAGUGGUGACUGGGGGCAUGAGCCUGGAUGAGAUGACUCACAAGGCCUCUUGCAGCCUGAAGAUUUGAGGAUUCUGUGCUGAUGUACCUGUGACAGCCAUCAGAAACCAACAGCAUCUUCUCUAGAAUUUGAGUUUGGAUAUUGGAGCCCCAGAUUUUGACAUGGGGCUGCCUAUUUUAGGGAUCACUAUCCCUUUUGCCUCCAUAAAGACAUUUAAGAUGGUAGUUUGGGCUGCCAGUUUCUAGAAUCUCUCUGAUGAGAGGUAUCUUGGAUCACCUCCCGAGGCUCCCUUGGCUAGGCAAUGUUAGGAAAAUAGUUCUGCAGCAGCAGAGACACCCCCUCCCCAAAGGGUCUGCUCUGCUCGCUCUGUUCCCAGGGCAUAUGGGCACACCUGCCAGCCAGCUCUGGCCCCCUGGAGUAGGCACGUCCCCUGAUGUGGGAGUCAAUGGUCACAGACCCUUUGAUGGUGCACUUUUCUAUACUUGUAUAUUCUCUUCCUUUUUUUCUUCUCCCUCCUUCUCCCCUCUCAAUGUAUCUAAACACCUGAAGAAGAAACUGCUGGUUGCUUACUCCAACAUCUGUUCUUCUCUUCCUCAACAACAAAGACUUGAAUUUGUUUUUUUUUUAAUAUAUUCUUUUUUUUUUUGAGGAAGAUUAGCCCUGAGCUGACA